GGGUGUGUAGCUCAAAUGGUAGAGCGAUCGCUUCGCAUGCGAUAGGUAGCGGGAUCGAUGCCCACCACAUCCA
rnacentral:tRNA from 1 species